rnacentral:tRNA from 1 species
UUCCUGGUACCCUACUGGGUAAGGGUCCAGCAUUUUCACUGCUGUGGUGUGGGUUCGAACCCUGGCUUGGGAA